UACGGAGGGGGCUAGCGUUGUUCGGAAUUACUGGGCGUAAAGCGCACGUAGGCGGCUUUGUAAGUUAGAGGUGAAAGCCCGGAGCUCAACUCCGGAAUAGCCUUUAAGACUGCAUCGCUAGAACGUUGGAGAGGUAAGUGGAAUUCCGAGUGUAGAGGUGAAAUUCGUAGAUAUUGGGAAGAACACCGGUGGCGAAGGCGGCGCUCUGGACCGAGACUGACGCUGAGGCGCGAAAGCGUGGGGAGCAAACAGG
rnacentral:rRNA from 1 species